CACCGGUCCGUGUCGGGCCAGUUUCACCCGCUGGUACUACGACCCUCUGGACAAGAAGUGCUCCCGCUUCACCUUCGGCGGCUGCGACGGAAACGACAACAACUUUGAGGAAGAAGAGAAGUGCAGAGAGACGUGUAAAGGAGUGACGGAACGUAACGUUUUCUUCAAAGGGCUGUUCGAACGCUUCGGCUCGGAGGAGGAGAGCGACUCAGG